rnacentral:rRNA from 1 species
CCUACGGGAGGCUGCAGUAGGGAAUAUUGCUCAAUGGGGGAAACGCUGAAGCAGCAACGCCGCGUGAGGGAUGAAGGUUUUACGGGUUGUAAAUCCUUUUGUUAGAGGAGCUAAUCACAGUAUCUGACGAAUAAUCAGCGGCUAAGUCCAUCCCAGCUGCCGCAGUUAUGAGGAGGGUGCAGGCGUUACUCGGAAUCACUGGGCGUUAACCGCGCCUAUGCGGGAUAGCAAGUCAGCUGUGAAAUCCGAAGGCUUGAACCUCGAACUGCAGUUGAAACUGUUAUCCUAGAGUAAGCGAGAGGUAGGCGGAAUUCUUGGUGUAGGGGUGAAAUGCGUAGAGAUCAAGAGGAACACUGAUUGCGAAGGCGGCAUGCUGGAACGUAACUGACGCUGAUGCGCGAAAGCGUGGGGAGCGAACAGGAUUAGAUACCCGAGUAGUC